rnacentral:rRNA from 1 species
GACGAACGCUGGCGGCGUGCUUAACACAUGCAAGUCGAACGGAAAGGCCCUGCUUUUGUGGGGUGCUCGAGUGGCGAACGGGUGAGUAACACGUGAGUAACCUGCCCUUGACUUUGGGAUAACUUCAGGAAACUGGGGCUAAUACCGGAUAGGAGCUCCUGCUGCAUGGUGGGGGUUGGAAAGUUUCGGCGGUUGGGGAUGGACUCGCGGCUUAUCAGCUUGUUGGUGGGGUAGUGGCUUACCAAGGCUUUGACGGGUAGCCGGCCUGAGAGGGUGACCGGCCACAUUGGGACUGAGAUACGGCCCAGACUCCUACGGGAGGCAGCAGUGGGGAAUAUUGCACAAUGGGCGGAAGCCUGAUGCAGCAACGCCGCGUGCGGGAUGACGGCCUUCGGGUUGUAAACCGCUUUCGCCUGUGACGAAGCGUGAGUGACGGUAAUGGGUAAAGAAGCACCGGCUAACUACGUGCCAGCAGCCGCGGUGAUACGUAGGGUGCGAGCGUUGUCCGGAUUUAUUGGGCGUAAAGGGCUCGUAGGUGGUUGAUCGCGUCGGAAGUGUAAUCUUGGGGCUUAACCCUGAGCGUGCUUUCGAUACGGGUUGACUUGAGGAAGGUAGGGGAGAAUGGAAUUCCUGGUGGAGCGGUGGAAUGCGCAGAUAUCAGGAGGAACACCAGUGGCGAAGGCGGUUCUCUGGGCCUUUCCUGACGCUGAGGAGCGAAAGCGUGGGGAGCGAACAGGCUUAGAUACCCUGGUAGUCCACGCUGUAAACGGUGGGUACUAGGUGUGGGGUCCAUUCCACGGGUUCCGUGCCGUAGCUAACGCUUUAAGUACCCCGCCUGGGGAGUACGGCCGCAAGGCUAAAACUCAAAGGAAUUGACGGGGCCCCGCACAAGCGGCGGAGCAUGCGGAUUAAUUCGAUGCAACGCGUAGAACCUUACCUGGGUUUGACAUGGAUCGGGAGUGCUCAGAGAUGGGUGUGCCUCUUUUGGGGUCGGUUCACAGGUGGUGCAUGGCUGUCGUCAGCUCGUGUCGUGAGAUGUUGGGUUAAGUCCCGCAACGAGCGCAACCCUUGUUCACUGUUGCCAGCACGUUAUGGUGGGGACUCAGUGGAGACCGCCGGGGUCAACUCGGAGGAAGGUGGGGAUGACGUCAAGUCAUCAUGCCCCUUAUGUCCAGGGCUUCACGCAUGCUACAAUGGCUGGUACAGAGAGUGGCGAGCCUGUGACGGUGAGCGAAUCUCGGAAAGCCGGUCUCAGUUCGGAUUGGGGUCUGCAACUCGACCUCAUGAAGUCGGAGUCGCUAGUAAUCGCAGAUCAGCAACGCUGCGGUGAAUACGUUCCCGGG